rnacentral:rRNA from 1 species
UACAUGUGGGGCAAGCGUUGUUCGGAAUUACUGGGCGUAAAGCGAGUGUAGGUGGUUGUCAUAGUCAGGCGUGAAGGCCUUGAGCUCAACUCAAGAAAUGUGCUUGAUACUGGGCAGCUAGAGGACCGGAGAGGAUAGUGGAAUUCCCAGUGUAGUGGUGAAAUACGUAGAGAUUGGGAAGAACACCAGUGGCGAAGGCGGCUAUCUGGACGGUUUCUGACACUAAGACUCGAAAGCGUGGGGAGCAAACAGG